rnacentral:rRNA from 1 species
CAGUCGCCGCGGUAAUACGAAGGGUGCAAGCGUUACUCGGAAUUACUGGGCGUAAAGCGUGCGUAGGUGGUGGUUUAAGUCCGUUGUGAAAGCCCUGGGCUCAACCUGGGAAUUGCAGUGGAUACUGGGUCACUAGAGUGUGGUAGAGGAUAGUGGAAUUUCCGGUGUAGCAGUGAAAUGCGUAGAGAUCGGAAGGAACAUCUGUGGCGAAGGCGACUAUCUGGGCCAACACUGACACUGAGGCACGAAAGCGUGGGGAGCAAACAGGAUUAGAUACCCCGCGUAGUCCCUGUCUCUUAUA